CUGGUUGAUCCUGCCAGUAGUCAUAUGCYUGUCUCAAAGAUUAAGCCAUGCAUGUCUAAGUAUAAGCCCUUGUACGGCGAAACUGCGAAUGGCUCAUUAAAACAGUUAUCGUUUCUUUGAUAAUCACUUACUACAUGGAUAACUGUAGUAAUUCUAGAGCUAAUACAUGCGUCAAUGCCCGACUUCACGGAAGGGUUGCAUUUAUUAGAUACAAAGCCAACCCGGAGCAAUCCGGCCCUGUUGGUGAUUCAUAAUAACUAAGCGAAUCGCAUAGGCUUGCCUGGCGAUGGAUCUUUCAAGUUUCUGACCUAUCAGCUAUCGACGGUAGGGUAUUGGCCUACCGUGGCUAUGACGGGUAACGGAGAAUUAGGGUUCGAUUCCGGAGAGGGAGCCUGAGAAACGGCUACCACAUCUAAGGAUGGCAGCAGGCGCGCAAAUUACCMAAUCCUGACACAGGGAGGUAGUGACAAGAAAUAACAAUGCAGGGCUUCACAGUCUUGCAAUUGGAAUGAGUAGAUUUUAAAUCUCUCUACGAGUAACAAUUGGAGGGCAAGUCUGGU
rnacentral:rRNA from 1 species